UCUUUUUCAUAGCUUCUCCAUCACAUUCAAGCUGGUUUAUGUCACUCCCCUGUGUUGUUACUUGUACAGCCAAGAAAGUAUCUGUUAUCUCCUGCGUAGUACCAAGGUUUGUUCAGGUAACUUGCAUUGGCCAACAGAAUCAGAGCAAAUACAACGUACACCUUAUCUGAAUAAAGGAUGCUACUACAUGGUUCAGCUUACAAGGAGCUAUUCUGUGAUCUCAGCUUCCAGAAUGAGAAAACACUUGGAGAGGGGCCAAGCAGAGUUGCAGUCAACUCCAAGGUGGCCCUAAGCACAAGUGUAAUCUUCCAAGGAGAGGACUGCCCCUCACAAAAGUAAUACCGGAUUCCCCAAGCUGCUUUGUGCCUCACUGUUGAUAUUUUUCCUGCUAUUGGCAAUCUCAUUCUUUAUUGCUUUUGUCAUUUUCUUUCAAAAAUAUUCUCAGCUUCUUGAAAAAAAGACUACAAAAGAGCUGGUUCAUACAACAUUGGAGUGUGUGAAAAAAAAUAUGCCCGUGGAAGAGACAGCCUGGAGCUGUUGCCCAAAGAAUUGGAAGUCAUUUAGUUCCAACUGCUACUUUAUUUCUACUGAAUCAGCAUCUUGGCAAGACAGUGAGAAGGACUGUGCUAGAAUGGAGGCUCACCUGCUGGUGAUAAACACUCAAGAAGAGCAGGAUUUCAUCUUCCAGAAUCUGCAAGAAGAAUCUGCUUAUUUUGUGGGGCUCUCAGAUCCAGAAGGUCAGCGACAUUGGCAAUGGGUUGAUCAGACACCAUACAAUGAAAGUUCCACAUUCUGGCAUCCACGUGAGCCCAGUGAUCCCAAUGAGCGCUGCGUUGUGCUAAAUUUUCGUAAAUCACCCAAAAGAUGGGGCUGGAAUGAUGUUAAUUGUCUUGGUCCUCAAAGGUCAGUUUGUGAGAUGAUGAAGAUCCACUUAUGAACUGAACAUUCUCCAUGAACAGGUGGUUGGAUUGGUAUCUGUCAUUGUAGGGAUAGAUAAUAAGCUCUUCUUAUUCAUGUGUAAGGGAGGUCCAUAGAAUUUAGGUGGUCUGUCAACUAUUCUACUUAUGAGAGAAUUGGUCUGUACAUUGACUGAUUCACUUUUUCAUAAAGUGAGCAUUUAUUGAGCAUUUUUUCAUGUGCCAGAGCCUGUACUGGAGGCCCCCAUUGUGCACACAUGGAGAGAACAUGAGUCUCUCUU
ensembl:lncRNA novel transcript